rnacentral:rRNA from 1 species
GACAGAGGCCUCAAGCGUUAGGCGGAAUCACUGGGCUUAAAGCGUGUGUAGGCGGAUCGUUAAGUGUCUUGUGAAAUCCCACGGCUCACCCGUGGAACUGCUGGGCAUACUGGCGACCUUGGGCCAACUAGGGGCAGCCGGAACAAGCGGUGGAGCGGUGAAAUGCGUAGAUAUCGCUUGGAACGCCGAAGGUGAAAACAGGCUGCUGGGGUUGUGCCGACGCUGAGACACGAAAGCCAGGGGAGCAAACGGG